rnacentral:rRNA from 1 species
UACGUAGGGGGCAAGCGUUGUCCGGAUUUAUUGGGCGUAAAGAGCGUGUAGGCGGCCAGGGAGGUCCGUUGUGAAAACUCGAGGCUCAACCUCGAGACGCCGAUGGAAACCCCCUGGCUAGAGUCCGGAAGAGGAGAAUGGAAUUCCUGGUGUAGCGGUGAAAUGCGCAGAUAUCAGGAUGAACACCCGUGGCUAAGGCGGUUCUCUAGUACGGUACUGACGCUGAGACGCGAAAGCGUGGGGAGCGAACAGG